GGGGGUGUGGAUUUUAUGUGUGUGUGUGAAAGAAAGCUAAUGUGGAGAAUUCGAAAGUGACCUUUAACUCUUUCUUUCUGGGCUCUGUAACUGAGGGCACAUUCUUCUCUGCAUGCUUUUUAAAAUUCUCAUACAAUAUAUUUUGGUCACACUCUGUCUCCUCCCUGAGCUCCUUGGUGUCCGACUUCUCUCUCUGUUGUAUAUUUUGUCCUUGAGCCUUGUGAGACUUACAGACCUCACUUCAGCAAACCCCCGUUUACAAAGAUGGCGUGUGAGUAAAGGACCACAGAGAGAGCUCCUCUGCCUCCUCUGCGUGCUUUAGCGCCUCCCCGUGUCCACCAGACCCUUCAGGCCAGCUCGGGGCUGAGCAGCAUGGAACUGAAGAGCACAUAAGAACAUGGGAGACACCAGUGAAGGCUGCGUCACAGACAGGAGACCCAUGCGAGCUUUCUAGAUGUCCUGGAAACACACCAGACUGCAGCUCACCAGCUGUCAUGAGACCUCUUACUCAAGGGAACAUCGGCCCUCUUACGUUCUCUUUGCAGUCUCUCUAGAUGCUUCUGAGUUCUAGAAAAAUCCAGUUUCCUUGGAGGUGCUGCCUCUAGACACACUCUGCUAAGCUGUCUCUCUCUGAGACACUGAUUCUCUGAACUCUUCAGCUGCUCCUGACUGGUGUUCCUCGUCCUUCCCUGUGGACCCUGUGUCCUCCCCAGCAGUACCUGUGUGCCGAGAAGCCUUUGUUUCCCCUCCCUCUCUGUCCUGCGCUUCAGGAGCCUGUUCCUGUUCGGUCUCCACCAUAGCCCCUGCUGAUGUCACUUCCUCCACCACUGCUACCUUCUCUGUUCUUGGCGCCAUAUCCUCAGUGCCCGUCCUUUCUUCCGCUGCUGCUUCUCCUAGAGCCUCACCUGCCCCGUCCCAGGUUUCCUUUUGAGCAUUUGCAGCGGAAGAGGCCUCAGGGAUCCCGUCAGCUGACUUUGACUCUGCCGACUCCUCCUCCUUCUGCUCUGCAGUUGGUUCUUCAAUUCCUCCUCCAUGUGGAUCCUCUUCAGCCUCUACUAUGUUUCCUCCCAUGUUCCAGUUUUGCCCUGUCAGGCUGCCAGUCACUGUCCCUGGAGGACACUCUUUAUCCUCGCUCCCUUCCCCCUGCGGGUUCUCAGCCUUGGCUUCUCCACAGACCACCACUGCCCUGGUGAGCCUUUCCCCGGAAAGGUUUCCCUGGGUCAUUCUCUGGAUGUCCUCUCUUUGUGCUUGCAAAGGCUGGUCUUCCUCCAGUCUCUCUGACCCCGCACUGCUGUCCAGCUCCUUGGCAGCCCACUCUUCACAUCUGGCUGUGAAAAAGCCCUCUGGUCCCUGGGCUUUGUCUGCUUCAGGUCCAGGAGCUCCUAACAGCCCUUCUCCAUCAUGGCUGAGGCCCCUCCCCUGAGGCCACAGAGCCUUGCUCUCCUGGCCUGGCAGCUCCUCUCCUCCUUUGUGUUCUGUGGCUGUGGCUUCACUCUCUUUUGGGGAUUUCCCAAACUGAGGUGUUGCUUCAGACAAGGUAAUGGCUCUUUCUUUGGGAGGAUCUUCUAGAAGCUUUGUAGCCUCCCCCAACUCAGUAGCCCCUGUGGGUUCUACAUCUUUGGCAUGAGCUUCCAUCUCAGGGCGGGAUGCACGGUCCUCUUCCUCAGAACCCACUUCCUUCGCUGUGCCCUCCUCUUCCCCUUUAACCUUUUGCUCUCCUAACAAGUCUUCUGUCUUCAGCACCUCGGGUCCUGUCUCCUCUUCUCUUUCAGAUCCAGUUUCCCUCAGAGGUGGCGUGAGCCUCUCAACUUUCUCUAUGCCUCCAGCUGCAGCUAAUUCCCCAGGGAACACUGCUCGCAGAUCCUGUUCCGCGGUGGAUUCUGUGUCAGCUAUGACGCCCUCCCUUGCUGUGUCUUCCUUACAGAGUUCAUGGUUGCCCCUGAAAACCUCCCUGGGGCUUGCUUGGACUUCUCCUGUUGAGGCGCUGAUGGGAGCUUCUUCCAGAAAGUCCUUCCUCUCUGUGGCUGCUCUCUCUCCCCCGAGGACUGUCUCUUCAGAACCAGCCUUUCUCUCUGGCCCUGUGUCCUCCACAGGCCCCACGACCUCCAGCUCUGUAAGAGCUUCCUCUUCACCUUGGUCUCCAUCUGUUUUGGGGGAGCCCACCUCCCUCUCUGCCUCCUUCACUUCAGAAGUGCCUACUUCUUUCAGAACUGCUGCUUCCUCAAGAGUCUCUGAGUUGAGCCCUCCACUGUCUGUGAACUCUGCCUUCAAUUCUUGCCCAGCUUCAGAAACUGCUCUUUCUUUCUCCAUCUGUGUCUGCAGCAAGGCCUGCCUGUCCAGGUCCUCAUCCUUCUGUCUGUCUCUAGCCUGCUCUACACUUAGAAACACAGAGCCUUCUGCUGCUACCUUUCCUGUGGGAAUCAACUGCUCUUCCCCAUGCCUGCUACUUCCUUCUGUGCCUGCCUCUGCCUCACUAGCUAUGUUCAGAUAGCACUCCCCUUUCUCUGUAGACUGUUCUGCUGAUGCCAGCAGAACUCCUGUAGGACUCCUCUCCCCUAAGAGAACCUCCGAAAUCCCUGCUUUCUCCCUCAGUCCCACAUCCAUGUCAGCAUCCUGGGAAUGAUGGGUACCAUCCUCCUGCAUCCCUACUCUCUCCCUCAGUCCCACAUCCAUGUCAGCAUCCUGGGGAUAGUGGGUACCAUCUUCCUGCACCCCUACUCUCUCCUUCAGUCCCACAUCCAUGUCAGCACCCUGGGGAUGACAGGUACCAUCUUCCUGCAUGUCCACUCUCUCUCUGAGUUCCACAUCUAUGCCAGCAUCCUGGGGAUGGCAGGUACCAUCUUUCUGCAUCCCUGAUUCCUCCCUCACUCCUGCAUGGGCAUCAGUAUCCUCAGGCUGGGAAGAUUCAUCUUUCUUCAUGGCUUCUUCUUUCAGUGUGUGCAUCUCUUGUGCAUCUUGCUCUGGUUGCUCAUUUGCGCUGAUGGCUGCUCUUUCCUCUGU
rnacentral:lncRNA from 1 species